ensembl:lncRNA novel transcript
ACAGUGAAAGCCACCGUUGCCCGGGGAUGGGUCCCUGACACUUGGGGAAGUAGGAGCCCUGUGUGAUCGUGCGUCUGAGUCUGGGCUGAGACCAGUCCUGGCCAGGGCAGUUACCAGGACGGUCUCCGGAGGCCGGGAUUCGCGGAGGGUCCAGCAGCAGGAAGAAACCCCAGGAGGAAGAAACCUCAGACAGAUCGCCGGCGAGGCAGCGCGGGAUCCCAGCCUCAGGCGUGCGCGGACGGUGUGCGGGUGGAAACCCCCUUCCCAUGGGGUGAAGCGCAGUCUGCUCCAGAGACCCACUGUUAGGGUCGGGGAUGUCACAGAAAUUAACAGGGCAGCCAAUUCCCAUCCAGAGGGGCCCAGGAUGACCCCGAACCCUCUAGCUCAGCCCCAAGCUCGGGCCAGGGAGUGAAGCCUUUGUCCCCAAGCAACAGAGUGAGGGUCUGUCUCUAACCCGGUGGGCUCCAGUGAAAGGAAAAUGGCCUGGAGGUGCCCACAGGAGGGCGCCCUAGUUCUGAGACAGGUCUACGGCUCCCAGACUGCGUCCCCAUGAGUAACAGAGGGACACGCAGAGGGGCAUACUGAGUGCCUAUAGGGGACUCACAGACUGCAGAUGCACGCUGCGGAUCCAGAAGCCGGUCAGCGCACACAACCAAGCUUAGGAGCCGACUGUUAAGAUGCCCCAGUGACACGGACAAGUUUCUCCUCUGCAACCCAAUGAGAGCUGCUGACCACGAGAGCAUCGCGGGACCGCCAAAGGAUUCUGGAAAAUGUGGUCCCGGGUGGCCAGUGUGCGCUGACCUUCACCUGAAGGUACGGCUUGAAGGAAACUUCUGGAGGGUGGGGUGGUGUUGAAGAGAAGGCACAAUUGUCACCAUUUUGUUCAACAUGGGCGUUUUCUUUGUGCAUUGAUUUGCAUUUUUAAAGGUAUUCCAUUAAAAAUAUGUUUAUC